GCCCAUUUGGCUCAGUGGAUAGAGCGUCAGCCUGUGGACUGAAGGGUCCCAGGUUCGAUUCCAGUCAAGGGCA
rnacentral:tRNA from 1 species